CACAAUUCUUUUCAAACAUUUUUUCGUUUUAUUUACAGACUGAUGUUUAUUUACAGACAGGUGUUUCUCAGAAUGAAAAUGAAAGUUGGACAAUCGAUCAAUUCUUCUUUAGAAAAUGGCCAGAUCAUGACAUUCCACAACAUGCAGAAUAUAUAUUAAACUUUAUACAUGCUAUUAAGAGCAUGGAUAUAAAAUACCCUGUGGUCGUACAUUGCAGGUUUGUAACUAUAAUUAUUU
rnacentral:lncRNA from 1 species